UUAUUUAUCAAAUCAAAAUCAAAAAUAAUUCACUUGAUAACUGCAAAUUUUUUAAUUUUUAAUAGAAAACGAAAAUUUUUAAAAUUAUUAAAAAUCGAACCAAACCGAACUCUGUCUUAUCAACAUCCGAAUUUGCAUGCCCCUGAUCCCUGGCCAUCCAUCCCACCCCACUGGGGCGGUCGAGCCACCCGACAGCAAGAGAAACUAGGGAUUCGUGACUGGUAACUGGCACUUCUGGUCAACCCUAGAUGGCAAUUUUUGAAAUUCUCAUUUUUCGCUCCUAAACAAUGAUGGAUUUCCACUUCCAAAUGCGUUUUCUCUUUGUAAAAUUUUCUUAGCAACCAAACAGAUCCUAUUAUAGUUAAAUACUUAAAAAGCUCAGAAUAACAUCAGUACAUCGCGCAAGCCUUGGAUUGGCCUCGGAUUUCUAUGUAAUUUAGUCGGAUUCUUGUUUUGAUGUUCCUGUGAAGUUAGUAUUUAUGGGCUAAAGAGCUUUGUAUCAAUCAGGACGCAUCAUCGCUGAAGGAUUAAGUGACUCUAUUGGAGAGGCAUUUGAACUAAUUUAUGAGUCCUCGAUUGGUCAUUCAAUCAUAGCGUCUGUCAGAAUAAGCGAGCAUGAUGAUUUUUGGGAUUUCAGAUCAAGGUAUCAGUGUGGUUCUAGACAACAACAGUGUUCGGAUUAAAUCAUCUCAAUGAGAAUGAUUUUAUCUCGUAGGUAAUGCUUGUAUCUAAUUUUGAUUGUUGAAAGUUUGAUGGAGAAAAUUUGUGUUGUUAAUAUAACUUUUUUGAAUACUCUGCUAUUAUUAUUAUUUUUUUAACUGAAUCCAUUAGGAUUGAAUGUUUGUUUUGGUGCUA